GAGUGUUGGUAAAACAGCAUUUCCGGAAAGAACACUCAGCCACUACCUCUGGCACUUUUUUCUUUUAUUUUUCGAGAGGCAUGAUGAGCUGAACCAUAGGAAAAAUAACAACCAAAGACCAUAAUGGCUCAUCGGUGGAUAUUGUGUCCCAUCUGUUGGUUCUACUAAGAAAGGCUCCAGGGUGUUGCAUCCAAAAAGCUUGCUGGGUCUUGCUAUGCAGUCCAGGUUGACUUUGAACUUCCGG